CACAGGCCGUAAACCCAAGGUUUCCAGGGGAAGGUUCGUCCGCCCUGGGUUAGUCGGGACCUAAGCUGAGGCCGAAAGGCGUAGGUGAUGGACAACAGGUCGAUAUUCCUGUACUACCGAUAACCGUUUGAGGGAUGGGAUGACACAGUAGGAUAAGCUAAGCACACUGUUGGUUAUGUGUGCCCAAGCAUUGAGGCAGUCAGAGUAGGUAAAUCCGCUUUGAUAAUGCUGGGAUGUGAUGGGGAGCGAAAUUUAGUAGCGAAGUAGCUGAUUUCACACUGUCAA
rnacentral:rRNA from 1 species